rnacentral:rRNA from 1 species
GUGGGGAAUAUUGGACAAUGGGCGAAAGCCUGAUCCAGCCAUGCCGCGUGUGUGAAGAAGGUCUUCGGAUUGUAAAGCACUUUAAGUUGGGAGGAAGGGCAGUAAGUUAAUACCUUGCUGUUUUGACGUUACCGACAGAAUAAGCACCGGCUAACUUCGUGCCAGCAGCCGCGGUAAUACGAAGGGUGCAAGCGUUAAUCGGAAUUACUGGGCGUAAAGCGCGCGUAGGUGGUUCAGUAAGUUGGAAGUGAAAUCCCCGGGCUCAACCUGGGAACUGCUUUCAAAACUGCUGAGCUAGAGUACGGUAGAGGGUGGUGGAAUUUCCUGUGUAGCGGUGAAAUGCGUAGAUAUAGGAAGGAACACCAGUGGCGAAGGCGACCACCUGGACUGAUACUGACACUGAGGUGCGAAAGCGUGGGGAGCAAACAGGAUUAGAAACCCUUGUAGUCC